rnacentral:lncRNA from 1 species
AUAUAUAUGUUCAAAUUUAAACAAACACUGAUUCGCCUCGUUUUACUACUUCACGUCAAACAAAAACGCCCGGUCCUUUUUGUUACAAACUAGUAGAGAGUUUGUUGACCAAUCAUAAUGCAGUGCCUGUGGUCUGGCGAGACCUUCGGAACACGAUAAAAUUUGUCUAUGACGUUUUCCGUCAUGUGAUACAACCACAACAUUGUUGGAAUCGGCUCCCACAACAUAAACAUUUCCAUUGUUGUCUACGGAGACACCUUGAGGGCAUCUUAAAACGUUUUCCUCUUUGAAUUCCCAUUGUGUCGUCCCUUGAAAAUCACUGCAUGUAACUGUGUUGUUAUCA